AGGAAAACACAACAUGAACAGGCAGAGUGCACACGCCGUGGCCUCGGGAAGCCACAAUCAUGUGGCUGACAUGGUUCCAGAGUGUGGCAUUAGGGAGACCAACUUCUGAGCUGCAGAUUCACAGCAUGGCCAUGCAGGCAGGGAAGAUGUGCUCUACUCCAGGAUCAAGGAGCAAGCCCAUAUUUCCUCUUGAUUCUGGGACUCCCUCUUGAGACUGAUUUGCUCUAAUGUUAGCUCUUGAGAGAACUGGGGUCCCUGCCUUCUUGGGGAGCCUGAAAAGAAGUUUUGCUGUCUGGGCAUCACAGCAUCCAGAGUGUACAGGAGACAGGUCAGCAGCUGCGGUCAGCAGAGGCACACACGCCAGCCCCUGGAGAUGGGUGGCUUGUCCUGAGCCAAAGCUGGGCUGGUUUAUAAACAGCACCUGUGAAAAGAAGAGGGAUGACUCCAGUGGGACAUUCCUGAACCAUGUGCACCUAUUCACCUAGGAGAAGGAAUGGCUGGAGUUGCAUCUAUCUUUCUGUUUAUGAAAUAUGGGCCCAACUCCAGCGACAACAUAAUUUUUAGACCAUUUAGUGGAAUAAUAAAAGUCAAAAGAGGAAAGAGAACUUACAUGGAUUGAACACCCACUGCAUGCUUAGCUCUCUGCUAGGUGCAUUACAGAAAAGAGCUUAUUGAAUUCUUACGCAAACCCUUGAGGAUGAAUGGCCGCUCACCUGGAGUCUUGAUAGCCAGGUGAUGCAGAUUUAGGAGAAGAAGUCCACCUC
rnacentral:lncRNA from 1 species